rnacentral:snRNA from 1 species
AGUUGAAGGUGGUCACAGGCUGCAACACCUGUCACCCCAUGGACUGCUCGUGUGCACUCAGCUGAGCUGGCUGGCCAGGCAAGGCUUCCCGUCCUCCCUCAUCAGGCCAUGUGUGUCCCUCCCAAAACUUGGCCCUCUGUCGAAGAGGACAACCUUUCCUGACACAGGAAGAUCUUCUUUGGUCAAGGGCAUACGAGUAGUUGCGCUCUCCUGCUAGAACCUUGAAGCAGGUUUACUCUCAAAGUCCAUCUGUAGGAGAAGGCAGGGGUGUCUAGCUUCUGAUACCCAGACACAUCCAAAUAAAGUGCUGCGUGUGGCAGUCCGCCUUUCUUU